ACGAACGCUGGCGGCGCGCCUAACACCUGCAAGUCGCACGAGCGAGAGAGAGCUUGCUUUCUCGAGCGAGUGGCGAACGGGUGAGUAACGCGUGAGGAACCUGCCUCAAAGAGGGGGACAACAGUUGGAAACGACUGCUAAUACCGCAUAAGCCCACGGCUCGGCAUCGAGCAGGGGGAAAAGGAGCAAUCCGCUUUGAGAUGGCCUCGCGUCCGAUUAGCUAGUUGGUGAGGUAACGGCCCACCAAGGCGACGAUCGGUAGCCGGACUGAGAGGUUGAACGGCCACAUUGGGACUGAGACACGGGCCAGACUCCUACGGGAGGCAGCAGUGGGGAAUAUUGCACAAUGGGGGAAACCCUGAUGCAGCGACGCCGCGUGGAGGAAGAAGGUCUUCGGAUUGUAAACUCCUGUUGUUGGGGAAGAUAAUGACGGUACCCAACAAGGAAGUGACGGCUAACUACGUG
rnacentral:rRNA from 1 species